CUUUCGGGUCUUAUAAUUGGAAUGAGUACAAUUUAAAUCCCUUAACGAGGAACAAUUGGAGGGCAAGUCUGGUGCCAGCAGCCGCGGUAAUUCCAGCUCCAAUAGCGUAUAUUAAAGUUGUUGCAGUUAAAACACUCGUAGUUGAACUUCAGACCUGGCCGGGCGGUCCCUCGUAUGAAGCGUGUACUUCCUGGCUGGGUCUUCACCUCUUGGUGAACUGGCAUGCCCUUCACUGGGUGUGUCAGGGAACCAGGAUGUUUACCUUGAGAAAAUUAGAGUGUUCAAAGCAGGCCUGUGCCCGAAUACAUUAGCACGAAAUAAUAAAAUAGGACAUGCAGUUCUAUUUUGUUGGUUUCUAGAGUCGCCGUAAUGAUUAAUAGGGACAGUUGGGGCCAUCAGUAUAGGGCUGCUAGAGGUGAAAUUCUUGGAUCAGCCUCAGACUAACUACUGCGAAAGCAUUUGCCAAGGAUGUUUUCAUUAAUCAAGAAUGAAGGUUAGGGGAUCGAAAAUGAUCAGAUACCAUUGUAGUCCUAACAGUAAACUAUGCUGACUAGGGAUCAGGCGAUCUCAGAAAUUUUUGAUGUGUCGCUCGGCACCUUACGAGAAAUCAAAGUCUUUGGGUUCUGGAGAGAGUAUGGUCACAAGGCUGAAGCUUAAAGGAAUUGAUGGAAGGGCACCACCAGGUGUGAAGCCUGCAGCUUAAUUUGACUCAACACGGGAAAACUCACCAGGUCCAGACAUGACUAGGAUUGACAGAUUGAUAGCUCUUUCAUAAUUUCAUGAGUGGUGGUGCAUGGCCGUUCUUAGUUGGUGGAGUGAUUUGUCUGGUUAAUUCCGAUAACGAACGAGACCUUACCCUGCUUAAUAACCCAGGCCGGCUUUCGCUGGUCGCCGGGUUCUAAGAGGGACUGUCUGCGUCUAGCAGACGGAAGUUUGAGGCAAUAACAGGUCUGUGAUGCCCUUAGAUGUUCUGGGCCGCACGCGCGCUACACUGACAGAGCCAGCGAGUUCAAUUAUCCUUGGCCGGAAGGUCUGGGUAAUCUUGUGAAACGCUGUCAUGCUGGGGAUAGAGCAUUGCAAUUAUUGCUCUUCAACGAGGAAUACCUAGUAAGCGUGAGUCAUCAGCUCACGUUGAUUAUGUCCCUGCCCUUUGUACACACUGCCUGUCACUACUAUCGAUUGAAUGGCUUAGUGAGGUCUUGGGAUUGGCUUUGGGAGCCGGAAACAGCACCCCGUUGCUGAGAACUCGAUCAAACUUGGUCAUUUAGAGGAAGUAAAAGUCGUAACAAGGUUUCCAUAGGUGAACCUGCGGAAG
rnacentral:rRNA from 1 species